GCUGGGCGUGGUGGCUCAUGCCUGUAAUCCCAACACUUUGGGAGGCCGAGGUGGGGGGAUUGCUUGAGGCCAGGAGUUUGAGAUGAGCCUGGGCAACAUAGCAAGACCCUAUCUCUA
ensembl:misc_RNA Metazoa_SRP Metazoan signal recognition particle RNA